rnacentral:lncRNA from 1 species
UCCUAUAUUCUUGGUUUUAUAUAACUAUGAGAAGAAGUAAAUGAACAGAUGUUGUCUCCUAACAAUAUUUGAACAUGAGUUUAGUUUCUCGUUGAAAUUCAAUGUCUUCUGAGGAAAAUUGGAAUAUGAUAGAAACUGGAAAAGAAGGAAAAAAUUAGCAAGAAAAGUGACUUGCAUGGAAUCAUUGCUGACAAAUAGAAUGUGAUUCAAUGGGGGUAAUAAUCAGGUUUUAUCUUUAUUUCCCUUGAUUAUUAUUAUUUUUCUAUCCUUUAUAAGUUAUGAUAUUUAUUUCAUAAAUGUUAGGAUAGA